CGGCGGACGGGUGAGUAACGCGUGGGUAACCUACCUCAUACAGGGGGAUAACAGUUGGAAACGGCUGCUAAUACCGCAUAAGCGCACAGUACCGCAUGGUACCGUGUGAAAAACUCCGGUGGUAUGAGAUGGACCCGCGUCUGAUUAGCUAGUUGGUGGGGUAACGGCCUACCAAGGCGACGAUCAGUAGCCGACCUGAGAGGGUGACCGGCCACAUUGGGACUGAGACACGGCCCAA
rnacentral:rRNA from 1 species